rnacentral:rRNA from 1 species
UACGUAGGCAGCGAGCGUUGUUCGGAAUUACUGGGCGUAAAGAGUGUGUAGGCGGUGCUCUAAGUUCGGUGUGAAAUCUCCUGGCUCAACUGGGAGGGUGCGCCGGAAACUGGAGUGCUCGAGCGUGGGAGAGGAAAGCGGAAUUCCUGGUGUAGCGGUGAAAUGCGUAGAUAUCGGGAGGAACACCUGUGGCGAAAGCGGCUCACUGGACCAUAACUGACGCUGAUGCACGAAAGCUGGGGGAGCAAACAGG